rnacentral:snRNA from 1 species
UGCAUUUCUUGAAAAACAAUACGUAUAUGCGAAUCGCCUUUUACUAUUCUAGCAUCCGUGUUUAUCAAGAACUAAAAUGCUUUCACCAUUUUUGUGAGGGUAUUCGUACCCUU